rnacentral:tRNA from 1 species
CGAGGCGUAGCGCAGCCCGGUAGCGCACUGUCUUGGGGUGACAGGGGUCGCAGGUUCAACUCCUGCCGCUUCGACCA